GGCUCCGUAGCUCAAUUGAAUAGAGCAUCUGACUUCGGAUCAGAGGGUUGUGGGUUUGAGUCCCUCCGGAGUCAC
rnacentral:tRNA from 1 species